GACGAACGCUGGCGGCGUGCUUAACACAUGCCAGUCGAACGGAAAGGCCCUGCUUUUGUGGGGUGCUCGAGUGGCGAACGGGUGAGUAACACGUGAGUAACCUGCCCUUGACUUUGGGAUAACUUCAGGAAACUGGGGCUAAUACCGGAUAGGAGCUCCUGCUGCAUGGUGGGGGUUGGAAAGUUUCGGCGGUUGGGGAUGGACUCGCGGCUUAUCAGCUUGUUGGUGGGGUAGUGGCUUACCAAGGCUUUGACGGGUAGCCGGCCUGAGAGGGUGACCGGCGACAUUGGGACUGAGAUACGGCCCAGACUCCUACGGGAGGCAGCAGUGGGGAAUAUUGCACAAUGGGCGGAAGCCUGAUGCAGCAACGCCGCGUGCGGGAUGACGGCCUGCGGGUUGUAAACCGCUUUCGCCUGUGACGAAGCGUGAGUGACGGUAAUGGGUAAAGAAGCACCGGCUAACUACGUG
rnacentral:rRNA from 1 species